GGCGGGUGCCGAGCCGGCUGCGGGCCCCGGGCGAUCGGGCGGUGGGGCGCUCGGUGCGCCCUACACCCGCGCCGGCACGCGCUGGGCUCGGAAGGGAAAUCAGUCAAUCACGCGACUGCCGAGGUGUGACCAGGUGGCCGCCCGAGCGCUGGGCUGGAGGGGUGGCGGCUACCCGGCUGGCUGGCCAGAUGAGACCCUAAGGCAGCUUCCUGGAAUUGCAGAUGUGCCCUUGGCUGUCCGCCUCUGCGGGCCUCUCCUGGCUUUGAGGAUGGCCUCAAACCUUCCGAAAGGAGGGGACAGGCUCCCCGCCUCUCUCCUUUCGCCAGCCCUUGUAGGACCCAGACCCCCACUGGAUCAGGAGAGGAUCGUGUUGGAAGGGCCGCUGUGGAAUGAACCACGGUCACCAACCCCAAUUUGGAAGCAGAAACCUUCCCUUUCUGUCAUCACCAGCCACAGCACCCGAGGCCACGCAGGCCUUUCCUGGUGUUCCACCUCCAGGCGCUGCUGCAGAUAAUGGUGUUAAAGCCCCUGCAUGUUUGCUUUCUGGUUAAGCAACGUGCCUUUGUCAUGAACACUCGCGUGUGCGGGGUGUUGCAUUUUGAACGGAGCCCAGAAGUCCCCAGAGCCCACUCUCCCCAGACCAGACAGCCAGGGCUGGGGACGAGGCGGAAGCUAGGUCACACCCUGUGUCCCUCUCCAAGUAAGACACGCUUUCCACAAUUUGCU
rnacentral:lncRNA from 1 species